rnacentral:rRNA from 1 species
GAUGAACGCUGGCGGCGUGCCUAAUACAUGCAAGUCGAGCGAACAGACGAGGAGCUUGCUCCUCUGACGUUAGCGGCGGACGGGUGAGUAACACGUGGAUAACCUACCUAUAAGACUGGGAUAACUUCGGGAAACCGGAGCUAAUACCGGAUAAUAUAUUGAACCGCAUGGUUCAAUAGUGAAAGACGGUUUUGCUGUCACUUAUAGAUGGAUCCGCGCCGCAUUAGCUAGUUGGUAAGGUAACGGCUUACCAAGGCAACGAUGCGUAGCCGACCUGAGAGGGGGAUCGGCCACCCUGGAACUGAAACACGGUCCAAACUCCAACGGGAGGCAGCAGUAGGGAAUCUUCCGCAAUGGGCGAAAGCCUAACGGAGCAACGCCGCGUGAGUGAUGAAGGUCUUCGGAUCGUAAAACUCUGUUAUUAGGGAAGAACAAAUGUGUAAGUAACUAUGCACGUCUUGACGGUACCUAAUCAGAAAGCCACGGCUAACUACGUG